rnacentral:lncRNA from 1 species
GUCACGUGGUCCGAUGCGUUCCGGCCGGCGACCUCGUCUUCGUGCCGUGCCCGAGUCCAUUGCUCCCCGACGACGCAGAGGUGAAAUUCCAGCUCGACCAGUCAGAAAAGAUGGCGCACUACCGCUUCAACGGAUCGAGAUGGAAUCGCUCGGAGCUCGACGCCGGGCUGGAGGAAAACGUGACGAUGGCAAAGAGACGGACGGGGAUCAGUGUCAAGAUGCACUUGAACACGACGGCGUCGGACGGGUGGGCGCGGUUCGCGCUCAUCGGGGUCGCCGCGGAGGACAGCGGCCUUUAUCGGUGCAGCGCCACGGUCAUCCACCCCCCCCCCGGGUUGAUCCUCCGCAACGCGUCCACAGUGGACCUCCGCCUGGAAGGGCACCAGUGCGAGGCCCCUGUGGUCUGUGGCCCCCCCGGUCUCCGGGCCCCCUGAGUGUCUCUCGAUCUGGAUCUGGAUCGGGGCGAUGGCCGCCCUGGGCGUGUAUGCCCUGCUCGUCACCGUCGUGGCCACGGUCAAAAUUGUCCGGGUAA